AUCCCAUGAUGGGGACAGGCGGCCAUGUAUUCCUGAAGUCGUUCCCAUGCCUUAGGAAUGGACUCGUCCCAUGUCUGCUGGAAACUUGAAAUUCUCCCAUGAAGGGU
rfam:Oryza glaberrima chromosome 2 Oglab02_0139_2, whole genome shotgun sequence.